UGCCGAAUGGUGUAACGGUAGCACUAGUGACUCUGACUCACUUAGUCUAGGUUCGAAUCCUAGUUCGGCAACCA
rnacentral:tRNA from 1 species